rnacentral:rRNA from 1 species
UACGUAGGGUGCAAGCGUUAAUCGGAAUUACUGGGCGUAAAGCGUGCGCAGGCGGUUCUAUAAGACAGAUGUGAAAUCCCCGGGCUCAACCUGGGAACUGCAUUUGUGACUGUAGAGCUGGAGUGCGGCAGAGGGGGAUGGAAUUCCGCGUGUAGCAGUGAAAUGCGUAGAUAUGCGGAGGAACACCGAUGGCGAAGGCAAUCCCCUGGGCCUGCACUGACGCUCAUGCACGAAAGCGUGGGAGCAACAGG